rnacentral:rRNA from 1 species
UACGUAGGUGGCAAGCGUUGUCCGGAAUCAUUGGGCGUAAAGCGCGCGUAGGUGGCUUUGUAAGUCCGUUGUGAAAGUCAAAGGCUCAACCUUUGAAAGCCGAUGGAUACUGUGAGACUAGAGUACGGAAGAGGCGAGUGGAAUUCCUGGUGUAGCGGUGGAAUGGCGCGAGAUAUCAGGAGGAACACCAAUAGCGAAGGCAGCUCGCUGGGACGUUACUGACACGUGAGGUGACGGAAAGCGUGGGGAG